GUGCUAUUUCGCCAAAAAUAAAAGAAGAAGAAAAAGAACAUGGUUGGUCAAAACAAACGUUAAAUAAAAAAGAAGCAACGGUUCAAGUUUGCUGCCGAGCUUUGAACGGUAUGACUACAGCGUGAAAGAGGCCCCAACACGCACGUGCAGGGCCAACACGGCAGUUAGUCAGCCAUGCGUUCCCAAAGCAACGGCAUCUCAACUACUAAGGGCCCGCACACAAACACACACACAAGUCGUAAUGAUUGUUAUUAGGAUCAUUUUUCUCUUCUCUCUGUGUUUUUUUUUCCUGCUCUCUCACGCCCCUCCAGCGGCGGCCUGAUUGACGCCUUAACACACACAACUGGUGUAGCCCGGACGAUGAGGAUGUGCACCAUCUGCAUCACACAUCUCAGCUGGAUUGUAACCAGCCCGUAUGUGUUUCUCUCACAUGCAAUGACCUGCUUUUAGUGCGACCGCAUGGCUGUGAAAAUGAUCCCAUUGAGAAAUAACUUUUUUAAUGAAAAAGGAACCCUCCCCGAGAGAUCUGCGGUUGUGAUGGACGACGGCUGACGUCGUUCCUAUUAUCCAAUUAAGGUCUCCGCAACAGGCGACGAGUGAUGAAUCGCGCCGUGAAACAAUCUAAAGGAAUAUCACCAAGAUGAAGACGGAUCGAUUUUCUACAAAGCGAUGACGGAAUGUCGGGUCGGCUCUGCGAGCGAGAUUCUUAAAGCGCACUGAAAUGCGGAAGUGAUAAAAUGGAUGGCGUGUGUGUGUGUGUGUGUUUUGAGUACGUGGCCGCCAUUUAGAUUUCUCAACACGCAGCCCAGCACCGACCGCUCACGAAAGGUGGAGACCAGCAACAGAUGGUGGAACGCGAAAUAAGAACUUGACCAUCUAGUGAACCGAUGAAAUUGGCCUUGUUUUUUCUAAUAGCAGAUGUCGUCCACUUUUGAAAAAAUAUUCUUUUUUCUGAAGGGGCUUCUAAAGAGAAAUAUUAACCGUUGGGAUAUUAACCACAAGGCCACAGAUAUUAUUAUGAUUUCCGGAUUCAUCACUCAACGAUGCGUGUCUAUCGCAGCUGAAAUGGAACAUGUAUCAAAACUAUCGCCAGCCAAUUUUUGUUUCUUGUUCGAACCCGUCACCACUUUGUUGCUGACCAACUAACACACAAUGAGCAACGGUGGGUGGCUAUUUCUGUUUUGUGUUAUUUUUUUUUUUAGACUGCCUUUUUAUUGCCUUUCAAAUUGGGCCCAUUGUGUGUGUAGUAAUGUGCAUUGACUAAAAUGUUUGCUUUUUUUA